CGUGGGUAACCUGCCCAAGAGAUCGGGAUAACACCUGGAAACAGAUGCUAAUACCGGAUAACAACAGACGAUGCCUAUCAACUGUUUAAAAGAUGGUUCUGCUAUCACUCUUGGAUGGACCUGCGGUGCAUUAGCUAGUUGGUAGGGUAACGGCCUACCAAGGCGAUGAUGCAUAGCCGAGUUGAGAGACUGAUCGGCCACAUUGGGACUGAGACACGGCCCAAACUCCUACGGGAGGCAGCAGCU
rnacentral:rRNA from 1 species